GAUCCUGGCUCAGGACGAACGCUGGCGGCGCGCCUAACACAUGCAAGUCGAACGAGCGAGAGAAAGCUUGCUUUCUCGAGCGAGUGGCGAACGGGUGAGUAACGCGUGAGGAACCUGCCUCAAAGAGGGGGACAACAGUUGGAAACGGCUGCUAAUACCGCAUAAGCCCACGGGUCGGCAUCGACCAGAGGGAAAAGGAGCAAUCCGCUUUGAGAUGGCCUCGCGUCCGAUUAGCUAGUUGGUG
rnacentral:rRNA from 1 species